rnacentral:rRNA from 1 species
GAUGAACGCUGGCGGCGUGCCUAAUACAUGCAAGUCGAGCGAAUGGAUUAAGAGCUUGCUCUUAUGAAGUUAGCGGCGGACGGGUGAGUAACACGUGGGUAACCUGCCCAUAAGACUGGGAUAACUCCGGGAAACCGGGGCUAAUACCGGAUAACAUUUUGAACCGCAUGGUUCGAAAUUGAAAGGCGGCUUCGGCUGUCACUUAUGGAUGGACCCGCGUCGCAUUAGCUAGUUGGUGAGGUAACGGCUCACCAAGGCAACGAUGCGUACCCGACCUGAGGGGGUGAGCGGCCACACUGGGACUGGGAAGCGGCCAAGACGCCUACGGGAGGCAGCAGUAGGGAAUCUUCCGCAAUGGACGAAAGUCUGACGGAGCAACGCCGCGUGAGUGAUGAAGGCUUUCGUGUCGUAAAACUCUGUUGUUAGGGAAGAACAAGUGCUAGUUGAAUAAGCUGGCACCUUGACGGUACCAAACCAGAAAGCCACGGCUAACUACGUGCCAGCAGCCGCGGUAA